UCGAGCAUCCCUUCCUUUCUCUGGCACAUUUGACGAAAAAGGCAUGUACUGUGGCCCCUAGGAAAUCCACCGUUCAUCUGCCUCCACCUCCCCGAUAAUAACAACCUCCACCUCCAGCAACAGUAACAACCACCGUCCAUCACUGUGCCCCGGAAAGAACGGGGAAGGAGACGAGGCUGUUUCCAAACGCCUCUUACAAGCAGAUGAAAAGUGAACAAUGCCAAAUUAGCCCGAGGUGGACACAGGCAGCAUACACACAGAGAAGGACACACACAGACAAAUGCGGGCAGUUUCCUCACAUUCCCCCCCUCUCUCUCUCUAAUUUAAUCUAUGUAUAUACACUCAUAUACAGCUCAAGAGACGCCGAGAGCUCCAAGAGCGCGGGGAAAUACACGGAGAAAGCCUUGCCUAAAUAUAGCCUGGAGCUCUGUCUUCGCAGAAGAGAGAGUGCCAAUGCAGAGGCCAGCAACUUUGGAGGUGGCGCUGGGAGGAAGUCAGGCUGGCCGGGGAGCGGAGCGCGGAGCAGCCCACCUCCACAUCACUGUUCAUAUCUGCCUCUUGAGCAACUUCGGAAUAAAGGCUGAUUUUCUUCCUGCUUUCCGACGGCGGGAUUUCGGAGGAGACAGUGCUUUCGCUGCUUGGAUGCUGGAGAUUGAAUAAAGUGUCUAUUUCAAAUUUGCCUUUGGCGGAGAUGUCCCCUAUAGCGCUGUGCAGGGAGGCGGCAGUCAGUCUCGGGCUGAGGCGACCACUGUGCGGAGAAUUUUCAAGGGCCUCCAACACCGCAUUUCCAGCUGAGUCUGACAAAUUCGAGAGCCUUUUGCCAGCUGUAGGGCUGUGCAGCCCUCUCUCCAUCAGGAUCAUCUCUUUUCUUAUUCUUUCCAUCAUCUCAGCUUUAUAAAAAAUGUCAAAGUUGCAGGGCUGGUCCUGUACUAAUGAUGAGCUGCAGCAGGGGCUAAUUCACAUUCAGCCCGGCAAGUGUCUCUAAAUAUUAUUAUCUCUUUUUGAGGGAGGUGUAAAAAUUGUGGGAUGCCAAAGCGAGGGAAUGACUGGUCAAAAUGACCCAUACAUCCUUUCUAGCCCGAAAUGUCAUUCAUCAAAAAGUGGUGCUCGUCAUUAAGGUACGAAUGACGCUGUUCGAAUAAUCAUUUAUUGUAACAGGUUUAUAAGCAAAUAAAUACAAGCUCCUGUCAGUGCAUAAUGAAGGCGGCUUCAGAGCAGACAAAUAUAUCCAGGUGGAAAGAAAGAAAGACAAGAAGUGAGGAGUAAAGCUCCUGUCCUUAGCUUGAUCAGAUCCUGCUUGAAUUGCUCUGGGGUUUGGCCUCUGGGGUGGAAUUGACAGUCUGAUUAAUAAAAUGAGCUGUGCAACAUUUCCCCCUUCAUUUAGGUGCAUCAUUAUGCUCUGAUUUUUGUUUUGUUGCCUUUUAGGUCCUAAUGAUGCAGCUUCUUUCUCAUUUGUCCUCGGACAGAACUACACGCUAAAUAUUAGAUAAUGCUUUUCUUUAUUAUUAUUUCUGAGACGAAUUUUAUAUCACAAUACAAGGAAAUACUGGAAGAGGACCAGAGGAGAGAACCUCCUGCCGCUGAUAUCUCUUUACUUUUCCCUCCCAUUUCCAGCCAACGUUAGUACUUUUAUUUAGGAAUUUACACUGACACCCCCACGCACCCCCUCACACGAGCGAACCUUAUCCCCAGACUUUAUAAGUCUGCUGCCCAGAUUCAAAUGUACCUACAGUAGUUACCUGGAGAUUAAAAUAUUUGCUACAAUCU